rnacentral:rRNA from 1 species
GAUGAACGCUGGCGGCGUGCCUAAUACAUGCAAGUCGAGCGAACGGACGAGAAGCUUGCUUCUCUGAUGUUAGCGGCGGACGGGUGAGUAACACGUGGAUAACCUACCUAUAAGACUGGGAUAACUUCGGGAAACCGGAGCUAAUACCGGAUAAUAUUUUGAACCGCAUGGUUCAAAAGUGAAAGACGGUCUUGCUGUCACUUAUAGAUGGAUCCGCGCUGCAUUAGCUAGUUGGUAAGGUAACGGCUUACCAAGGCAACGAUGCAUAGCCGACCUGAGAGGGUGAUCGGCCACACUGGAACUGAGACACGGUCCAGACUCCUACGGGAGGCAGCAGUAGGGAAUCUUCCGCAAUGGGCGAAAGCCUGACGGAGCAACGCCGCGUGAGUGAUGAAGGUCUUCGGAUCGUAAAACUCUGUUAUUAGGGAAGAACAUAUGUGUAAGUAACUGUGCACAUCUUGACGGUACCUAAUCAGAAAGCCACGGCUAACUACGUGCCAGCAGCCGCGGUAAUACGUAGGUGGCAAGCGUUAUCCGGAAUUAUUGGGCGUAAAGCGCGCGUAGGCGGUUUUUUAGUCUGAUGUGAAAGCCCACGGCUCAACCGUGGAGGGUCAUUGGAAACUGGAAAACUUGAGUGCAGAAGAGGAAAGUGGAAUUCCAUGUGUAGCGGUGAAAUGCGCAGAGAUAUGGAGGAACACCAGUGGCGAAGGCGACUUUCUGGUCUGUAACUGACGCUGAUGUGCGAAAGCGUGGGGAUCAAACAGGAUUAGAUACCCUGGUAGUCCACGCCGUAAACGAUGAGUGCUAAGUGUUAGGGGGUUUCCGCCCCUUAGUGCUGCAGCUAACGCAUUAAGCACUCCGCCUGGGGAGUACGACCGCAAGGUUGAAACUCAAAGGAAUUGACGGGGACCCGCACAAGCGGUGGAGCAUGUGGUUUAAUUCGAAGCAACGCGAAGAACCUUACCAAAUCUUGACAUCCUUUGACAACUCUAGAGAUAGAGCUUUCCCCUUCGGGGGACAAAGUGACAGGUGGUGCAUGGUUGUCGUCAGCUCGUGUCGUGAGGUGUUGGGUUAAGUCCCGCAACGAGCGCAACCCUUAAGCUUAGUUGCCAUCAUUAAGUUGGGCACUCUAAGUUGACUGCCGGUGACAAACCGGAGGAAGGUGGGGAUGACGUCAAACCAUCAUGCCCCUUAUGAUUUGGGCUACACACGUGCUACAAUGGACAAUACAAAGGGCAGCGAAACCGCGAGGUCAAGCAAAUCCCAUAAAGUUGUUCUCAGUUCGGAUUGUAGUCUGCAACUCGACUACAUGAAGCUGGAAUCGCUAGUAAUCGUAGAUCAGCAUGCUACGGUGAAUACGUUCCCGGGUCU